rnacentral:lncRNA from 1 species
UCUUCCUCACUUGCCACUACGUCACCUUGCAUGGCGCAUGUGUCGCUAGGUCGCUAGCCUUUGCCAGAACGUCAUCGACGGAUUGGUUUGGUGGGUUUGAGUUUCUUUGAUUAAGGUGGGAAUUGGUGAUCUUGCAAAGGAGUUGGUGAAGAUCGGAAUGUGUGCAAGUUAUAUGUUAGUGUAUAAGCUUCUUACAUUGACUUUGGUGUUACCGGUUGCAACCACUUCGGUGGAGAGAGUUUUUUCUGCUAUGAAGAUUGUGAAAACACCAUUACGUAACAAAAUGGGAAAUUAAUGGUUGAGUGAUAGCAUGCUUGUUUAUAUUAAGAGAGAUGUAUUUGCUUUUAUUGAUAAUGAGCCUAUUAUGCGACGUUUUCAUGAUAUGAAACCUCGCCGGCAACAAUUGUAAUUUGUUUGUAUUGAUAAAUUAUGGAAGACAUUACUAUAUAAAAGGAUUUGGUUGUUGCUAUUCUUUUGAACCUUACAAUCUUUUAACUUCGCCCCUCCCCCCAUCAAUUCCUAGCUUCGCCACUGGAGACUGAUGAGUCGAUAUUAUACUAUAUAUUUUACCAUAAUCUUAGUAAUAAUUUAUUGGUUAUUAUUUGUGAAUUUUGAUACAUUGAAUUAUAUUUCUAAUGUAGGACAUUCGACUUCCUCUGGAGCAAAAAGUGAUCAAACGGAUGAAUUUUGGAGUAAUUCCAAUUGGAGGAUAUUUGUGAGUCGUUCAAGAUGAUUGUAUCAAGGUUUCAGAUUUUUCUACUUAGCCGUUUGACUGUGGCUAUGAACUAAAAGGCCAGCACGUAGUUUUCUUAGAUUGACGUUUCUGGAUGUUUUGGGUAUUUUGGAGGUCAAGAGGACAUAUUUUGAGGAAGAUUUCUUCUGAAGAUUUGUAGGGGACGACUUAAGCUUUCAAAAGAGAUAUUUUUUGGACCAAAUUGGAGUUUAUUUGAUCAGUCAAAAGUCUGAUUUUCUGAGAAGUCUGAAUUUUAGUUCAAAUAGGAAACCUUUUUACUUUCUGUUUUAUUAUUUAAUUAUGUUUCCUAGUUUUAGUCUAAGACUUUUUAGGAUUUUAUUUUGUAUUAGUAUAAAUAAGAUAUUUAGCCAUUAGAAGAUGAGUGGAGGAAAUGCACGCACUACUUUAGAGGGUUUUUGAAGUUUAUUUUCAAGGUGUUUUCUAUCCUUAUUUUUAAUAAUAUUUUGUUUAUGGUUGUUAGUAACUAAUUCUUGUUUGCUAAGACGAGGCCACGAGCUUUAGCAAGAAUAUGUAGUUUCUUUUCAAUUUACUUAUGAUAUGCAUGUUUUGAAUUAUUAAUCACUGUUUUAAACUAUCUAAGUGUCUUAGUGAUUCGCUACCAUUAGGAUAUUUAGAAAAGUAAUUUGAUGCAAUUUUGGUCGGAAGGUUCCUUGAAAUUGGUGCUAGUUUCUUGUGGUUAAUAAUUGUAAUUUCACUUAGGAUGAACACCACGUCUUAAGGGUUGCAUGGUUUUUUCAAAGGGUUUUCAUAAAGCAUAAUGAGUCUUUUAGGUUCAUAUUUGAUCUGAACAUCCAGAUGGGUUGCAUGUUAGAUAUACGUUCUAUGUUAGAGGUUCCAAUUAGGAUAUAUAUUAGGAAAACCUAACCUUCAAACAUAUGCAUGGGUAAUUCAUAAGUAAUUGAAAGAACUACAUGUGAUUGUUAAGGUAACGGCAGAACCCUAGGCUUUUACAAUUUUAAUUUUCAAAAACUGUUUUCUUUUAGUUUAUUUUAUUUUGGCACUUUAUUUAAUUAUUUUCUAUUACAUUCGUUUUUAUUAUUUUAAAUCAUAAAAUCUGUUGCAAUCCUAUUUAGAAUAGGAAUGUGAUUGUGUAAAUCCUAGGAAAUAUGGGAAUGUAUCUUAUAUUCCUAUUAGGAUUAGAUUACCUAUUAAAUGUUGUAAUCCUAAAGGGAAAGGUUUUACCCUUCAUACUACUAUAAACAAAGGCACAAUGGGGUGAGAUAACACAUACCCACAAUUACACAUCUCUAUAUUCUUCUUUCUAUUGCCGCACCCCCUCUCUCUCUAAGGCCUCCAUAAUUGUUCAGUAAAUUAUGCCUACAACACGUUAUCAGCACGCUCUUGACGCUACGCUAACAAGAGAGUUUGAUCUUCAAUUUAGGGAGUAUUACGUUUUAAUCAUUCUUUUCAUGAUUAAUUUAAUUAUUUUAUUGAAUUGAUCUACAUGCUAUUGAUUCAAUUUAAUUUUUCUAUGUUGAACGUGAUACAACGAAUUGGAGAUGCAAUUUCGGCUUUCGGAGAAGGAUCUUUUACAAAUUCAAAGGCUUAUUCGUUUUCUGCUGCUUAGGUACGCUAAAAAUAAAGGAAGAUAUUUGAAACGACCCAUGAAACAUGAAAACAUUCCCCAUGAUGCAUGAACCCCCUACAUUUAUAUUUACCUUCUGAUAUAUAUAUUGUAUAUGUUUCAUAUAUUUGUCAAUAUAUAUAUUUGUUUCAUACAUUACGCAAUAAUUGCUAUGUGGAAUUUGUGAGUCAAAGAAUCGAAAGAAAUUAGAAGCAUAUUAGGGUUUUCCUAAACCUAAAGGAUUUGAAAAAAAAAAUGGGGGAAUCAGGACAUGGUGCGGCACAUCACCGCACCAUCAUUGUGCAAAUAAUCACUAGGCCUAGGCCUGGAUUUUACCUUGGUAGGGCCUGUAGCCCUGAGCCUAUGCACACUGGCCUUGGCCCGCAGCCAUCCAACCUGCCCAAUUGUCUGGGAUGUCCUCCUAUACACACGCUGCAACCUUUUUGGUUGCUGGGUUUUGUUGCUUUGGCCCGCAUACAUAUAGCCAGCAUAUGCUGGGCUUGUCCCUGCCCCACCUAUACCCAAGCCUGUGACUUGCAGUCACUAUGGGGCUGCUUUCACGCAACCAGACUUCGUUGGGAUCCCCGUGACAACCCACAGGCCAGCUUGCGCUAGACCUGUCUGUGCACUCCUUUGUGGCCCAAAACAUGACCCAGCUGCGGCUAGGGUCUCCCAUUCCUCACCCGUGGCCUGCAGCCACCACCAAAGGAACAUUUGGGCCUCGCCUUAUGCUUAAGGCACCCAACCCGUGCCUCUUAACCCCCGGCAUUAAGCCCAAUUAUUUUUGGGGCUCUAUUUUCAAUCUAAUAAUAUUAUUUUAAUAUUAUUUUGCUUCUACGAUCGACCCCGAAUGGUCCCGAUCUAUUGAAUUAAUUAAAAGUGACCUGCAGUCCAUUAAUCUGAUAAUGAAUCCAAAAUUAUUGACCUGAAGAUCACUUUUGGACAUUAACGAUUCAAUAAUUUAUUUCUCUUCUUUGAACCGUCAUAUACUUUCAUAGUAACGAAGCUCUCACACUUGAGUUGCCGAAGACAACUCAAAUCCACUACACUAAGUUAGUAUAUUGCAUUCUGAGUUUCUUGCAAGAACCUCUCCUUUAUGAACUAAACGUUCAUAAACUAAAUUGAACCUGUAGUUUCAAAUUUAGUGCAUUUGAAACCCAAAGAUUUCAUAAAACAAUCACCCAUGAAAACCCGACGUUUUUCAUGAAAACCCGACGUUUUUCAUGAAAACCAUGUCUUAGAACUCGAAUGUUCUAACUUUGAUGCUUAUGGAUGAUUCAUUCCCAUAGCACCAAUCACAAUCUUGUUCCCUCAAAUUCAGUGGAUUGUCGAACCGUCACAAGUUUGAUUUUCCUGAUUUGGACGUUUUCUAAUAGAAACCACUUUAGGUGGGGUACAAGACAUGAAUCUCCACUUGACUAUCAAGAAGCUGAGAAACCAUUGAUGCCAACAAUGGCAUGGAAGAGCUGAAUAAGCCUCUGCCAUGAUCUUCAUUCGAAGACUUAUGCUCAAAGCAUUACAAAUGGAAGUACCUCCCGAACGAGGAUUCCAUGGCUCUUUGGCUCGCUUUUACGGACCGUCUAAUCAUGAAAGAUAUUGCCCAAAGAAAACCAUGAUUACAUCCAUGAAUAAGUACAAUUCUGAAGUUUAUAAAUCCAAUCGAAUUUAGACUGCAGAAUACUUUUCUCGUCCUUCCUUGUUUCUAACUCGCCCCUGAAGCAGCAGUGUAGAUAAUGGAAGUUUAUCAAAUUCUCGGAUCUGAUUACUAGCACAAACGUGAGAGAAAGGUAUGGACCCAGUUUGGUCAAAGCCUACCAAAUGGUGAUGCACUGCUUCGGCAAGGAUACACUGAAUGGCAUACUCUCUCACAAUCCAAUUUUGAGUUUGUUUUGACAAACAUAUUGUAGAAUCAGGGCCUGCCAAGGUGUGGCAUCAUGCCCGACACGUGAUUCUUGACACCCAAGACCUAAAACUUCAAGAAUACGGGAUAAUAUUCCCAAACCUUAACCCUGCAAAAUCUACUUCCGUCUUGAUGGAAUAGACCAUUGGUUAUGCACCUGUUCGUGCCCCUACCAAUGUUGUUGAGAAAUACCAUUCUAGUAGUCAAUAUGUGAGAUUGAUUUUGCUCCACCGAAUAUCGUUGGAAUAGAAAAAUUGUGACAUGAAUGGCCUUGUUGGCCGAAUCCACCAAAGUAACUUUGGUUUACUUUGUGAACAUUUUUCCAUGUUCUUGGAUUCAAGUUUGGUGUAUGUUUUACUUAUGGAUAAUCUUAUUGAUAUUGUCCUCGAAUAUGAGUUAAUUGAAUCAUGUUUCUUGAAUACAUGUGACCAAUUCAAUUGACCAUGUGAUUAGGUGGGAAUGUGGGAAAGUUAGUUGUCUGGAUGAAUGCGUACUACGCACACUAACUUUACACCUAAAUCAUAUCUCUAACAAUGACUUCAGGUAUAUCCAACCUGAUUAAGAGCAUUUGGCACACUCCUCGUUGUAUGAAUGGUACUGCAUCAUCAUUUAAGGGACCUUAAAUUCUUUUUGACAUUGAGUUUUUAAGGAUAUUCGAGAUGACAAUGAUCAUAAAUGAAACCACUGAAGAAAAUAGAGUGAAAUAUCUUUGCACCACCUCUAAAAAUGAGCCUGAAGCUUUGAUUUAGGGCCAAUGGGUUGUCUCCCAACUGGGAAUACACCAUAUGUGGCCGACCUAUAGCCUGGUGAUUGAGCAGUUUACUUGCUUUGGCAUGACCUUUUGGGACACUUAGGUCGAACAAUGAUGCUACUACGCAUCUCCUUAUCUGAAGUAAGGAUUUUGUGCCUACAAGCACACUUUGCCAAUCCUGCUCAUUAGGGAAAUUGAUUUUCUAUAUAAUUUCUUGCAAAGAUACGACACGACUCCAUUUUCGCAGUGGAUUCAAGGGAAUAUAUGUGGACUAAUCCAACCAAAAUGCGGACCAUAUAAAUAUUUAUGGUUUUGGUUGAUGAAUCGACAAACUGGUCACAUGUUUGUCCACACACAUUACUGCUAAACCUCUUAGCCGAUUAAGGGUUCACCACCCUACUUAUCCCUUAAGGUCUGGAAGACUGGAUAAUGCUAGAGAGUUUAUAUCGACGGUUUUCGAUAAAGUAUUGCAUGUCAUUUUAGGUUUUUAAUUGAACAUCGCAUUCCCAUGUUCACCCCAAAUAGCCUAGCCUAGCGAUCAUAAAGCGCAAUUUAAAUGAUCGCCCAAAUUUUGGUAAACGUACCAAGUUUUCGGUCUUUGCCUAGGGCUAUGCAAUCUUGCACGUAGCUAUGUUGGUCCGCCUUAAGGCCCAUUGCCACCCAACCUAUAUGACGUUACAGUUGGUUAUUGGGUACGAACCUGAUGACUUUCGUAUUUACGCAUUUGGGUGCGCAUUCCAUGUGCCAAGUUGCGCCGCCGCAACAUACCACCAUGGGUCCUCAAAGAAAGAUGUGUAUCUUUUGUCGAUCAUGAUUCUUCUUCACACUAGCUCUCUUCGAGCCCUUGCACACGAUCUCUUUACCGCUUAUUUGCGGGUUAUCACUUUAAUGAGACAGUAUUCCCGCCGUUAUUGGAGAUAAGAACGUCAAGGUUCCUGUAAAACGACAUGAAUUUGCAUGGACGUUGCCCACUAUGUCUCAUCUCGAUCCCCAUACAGCACAAGUGUGAUAAGCAAGUGCGACAAAUUCUAGAUUUCAGAAUGUUGCUCCAGGCGCAUUCCUCUGAUCUAGCUAAAGUGACGAGAUCAUAUACCAGCUACAAACAUGCCUGCAAGGAUAGACGUACUUAACAGACAUUGAGUCAACAUCCUGGAGGGUGUGCCGCCCAUGUUGGACGGUUUGGACGACCCUAUUGGAUGGUCCGGUACACCGACGGAUAGCCAAUCAAUAUGUUUUGGCCUGGAGCAUGACAUAUCAUUCGGUUCGUAGGAUUCACUUCCCUGGAAGAGGAAGACACGGCACAACAAUGAAUCUAAACUCGAUCGUUAUCUCAAAUCAUUUUCAUCUCAUGAGAUUAACCCGGAUUACUCCCGAGACUUGAAGUUCUUAGUCUAGUAUACUAGUUUGGAUGAGAAAAUGGAAUUGAAAUGAGAUUAUCAUCGAUGAUGUUUUCACUUAUAUGGUAGUUAUCGACAUAAAUGAAAAGCGACGAUAUCGAACCGUGUUCCGUUGAUUAAGUGACAACGUAGAACUGAUUGGACAACUAAAGUUACAAUCCAGGUCAAAUUCCUUACCAAAGUGUGUAUUGGACCUGUCGUUCCUACACUGCCCAAGGUCACCCUGUUGAGUUACAAGUGGGAAAGGAAACAAUAUGAGAUGAAUGAAAUAGUGCGAUAUGAUGCACGUCUUACGGCGCAAGGUUUCUCUCAAAACGUCUUGUGAUUGAUAGCAGCAUUAUGAAAUGUGGUUAGUAUUUCUCCAUGGGGAUAUAAAUACGGAGAUUUACGUGUAAGUUCCCGAAGAAUUACAUGGACUGGUUCAAAUAGUUCCAAACCACGGAACACCCUCUUAACUCGUUUUGAGGCGUUCACUUAUGGAUUGAAAAAUCCAACGGAUGUGGUAUACCCGUCUAAGGGAUUAUUUGAUCAGUCAAGGAUAUGAAUUAUGCCCUUUGCGUGUUAAACUAUGAAGUCAUAUUCCAAAUUGCUAGAGUUUUAGUUUAUGUCGUUAACACGAAUCUCACUAAGACUCUGGAAGAGCUUGAGAAAACUUCCUCGCACCUGAAGAUGGAAUUUGAGAUGAAGGAUCUUGGGAAAACUCGUUUAUGCCUUGACUUGAAGUUGAAGCAUUGUUCUGACGGUAUUUUGGUCUACCAGUUGAACUACACUCGGAAUGUGUCACCUUUGAGUAUACACAUGAUCGUCCAUACGUUAUAUGCAAAUGAGACUCUUGAAGAGUCUAUGGAAUCCGAAAUUCCAUAUCUAAAAGUUCAACUUUGCGCUUCGUUGUACUUAGCUCAUUGUAUUUAGACAGGACAUCUCCUUCGCUGUUGAUCUUGGUAAAGAUGCAGCACCGCGCCUACACGCAACCACUGAAUUGGUAUUAAAGACGUACCCUGAAGGUAUUAUGUGGGCAAAUCCCAACGCAUCUUGAGCGAAUCUAACCCCCAUGAUCCUCGAAAUGAUGCUUGCCUUGUUUGUUAUACUGACGCUGGUUACUUAUCAAACCCGCACAAGGUAAAAUCCCCGAAUGGUUAUGUCUUUACCGUUAGGGAUAUCGCAAUAUCUUGGAGGUCCAUGAUAUGACCCUAGUUGCGAAAUCUUUGAAUCGUUCCAAGACUCACCUUACUUCACUAUGCCACAAGUGAGACAUGGUUAGGAGUUCUUGUUGAGCAUAUUCGAAGUACUUGCUAUAUUUUCAUCCAUUGUUGAGUCCCAACGACGAUCCAUGAAGAUUAUGCCACAUGUAUCAACCCGACCAAGCCAUGAUACAUCAACGAAGUCAACACCAAGACAUAUUGCGUCUACAUCUACAUCAGCAAAGCAUCAGGAGAUUGAAGUCAUGCAAACCGAUCCCAGACAACCUUGCCGACCUCUACACGAUGUCACUGCUGAAGUCAGCCUUCCAGAAGCUUGUCCGAGGAAUUGGUAUGCCUAACUACUCAUAUGCAAUGCUUGUAGUUCUCAUUUGGAAGUUAUGUCAAACUCAGGGGGAGUAUCCAGAAGUAUACUCACUUGAUCUUAAUGUACUUUUUUUCCCUACGAUUAUGAGCAUUUUUCCCACUGGGUUUUUGCUACCUAACUAGGUUUUAACGAGGCACCCAUCAUGGGCUGAUCAUACCCUUGAGAGCUCUUCUACUUGCGUCCAAAAGACGUAUAGUUUUGACUUAAUGCAACUUCUCACUUUUCUCCUUAGACUAUGGGUUUUUCUCCCAUCUUGGGUUUUACCAUAGCGAGGUUUUGUGAGUUUUACUUUUUAUGCAUUCUUCCGUUGAUUUGAGACUCGCAUUUGCCCAUUGUGUCAAUGACUUCAUCAACUGUACUUACUUUAUCAAUGAAGACUUGAUGCACCAUUUACUUGAGUAUUUACACACUCAAGGGGGAGUGUUGCAGUCCUAUUUAGAAUAGGAAUGUGAUUGUGUAAAUCCUAGGAAAUAUGGGAAUGUAUCUUAUAUUCCUAUUAGGAUUAGAUUACCUAUUAAAUGUUGUAAUCCUAAAGGGAAAGGUUUUACCCUUCCUACUACUAUAAAUAAAGGCACAAUGGGGUGAGAUAACACACACCCACAAUUACACAUCUCUCUAUUCUUCUCUCUAUUGCCGCACCCCCUCUCUCUCUCUAAGGCCUCCAUAAUUGUUCAGUAAAUUAUGCCUACAACAAAAUCAACUUUUUCUCAAACAUUGUUUUAAAUAAAUAAUUAAGAUUUGAUUUAACAUAGAUUAUCAUCCAAUCCCUAUGAAAAACGACCUUAUUUGAGCAGUUAUACUACGACAACCUUAUUCUCUUGCAAGUAUUUUUAUCCUUAUUUUUGUAGGUGGUAAAAAUCUUAUCAGGGACUAUAGAGGGUUUCUACUUUUGAACCUAAAGGAGAAUCUAAACAAGGUGAAUCUAAGCUCAAGCUUUCUAGUGGAGAGAAAUUAGUGGAAUACAUACAUAGGUUUAAAUCAAGAUCCAAAAAUUAAUAUUCCUAAUAACCUCAUAGGGAUAUUUUUUUUUUUAGUACAUCGAUAUUUUUACACUAAAAGAAUGGGGAGUUUGGCUAAGCCACACAAUGGUUAGCCUGAUUUGGUAUCGCUAUCCACGAGAUUCAAACCUAAAACCUUUCUAAGUGAAAAAAAAUACUACUAGACCGUAAUAGGUUUUGAUUUUGAAAAAAAGAAACAUGUGGAUACAUCAACCAUUGAGAUUUGGAUCAAGAAAGGUUAAAUUUAUUUGAGAUAACCUUAGCCACUGGUUAUUAUAUUAAGAGGUACGUUAAUUUAUUGGAUCUAGUCAUUUAUGUAAGUAAAUGUUAAAAUUUUGAAAUCCCAAGCAUGAUUCUCAAGAGAGAGAGCAAUUUUACUUCAAAAUAUUCUAGGUCAUCUCCAAUUGAACUUUUGAUUCAAGAUGUUAUAUCUAGUUGCCACUUCGUGUUACAGUUUAGUGAUAUUCCUCUCUAUGUGUAAGUGAAACGUUUUAAGUUUAAUUCUCGCCAAAGGCGAAUUCCACCCAAAUUACUAAGGCUAGCCUAUUAUGAGGCUUAGCCAACUCGCACUCCUCUUAUGUGGAUUCUUAUGUAUUAAAAAUAGAAAAUAUUAUAUAUAUAUAUAUAUAUAUAGCAAUACAUACUAAAAUUCAUGAAAUCUAUUCAUUUCACACUUACUCACAUCUUGAUAAUUUUUUAUCUUGUAUAUGUAGGCUGAAUAAAUAAAAAUAAAAGGUCUUUUUAAUGAUCCAACACUUCAAUUGACGGAAAACGUUACAGUCCAUGUGUCGGAAGUUAAUUAGUGUAACAUCCCACAUCGUCCAGAGGAGUGGAUCCUGUGAGCCUUAUAUGUAUAUUCCCAUAUCUACCUAGCACGAGACCUUUUGG